CGACCUCAGAUCGGACGAGAUUACCCGCUGAAUUUAAGCAUAUCACUAAGCGGAGGAAAAGAAACUAACAAGGAUUCCCUCAGNAACGNCGAGUGAAGCGGGACCAGCCCAGCACCGAAUCCCCCAGCAUCUCGCUGGCGGGAACUGUGGUGUAUGGGACGCCAACUGUCGUCUCCCCGGUGGCCGAAGUCCUCCUGAUCGGGGCCUCUCCCAGAGCGGGUGUCAGGCCUUUACUGCGCUGGCGGGUCGGCUGCGAGCGUCUCCGGAGUCGGGUUGUUUGGGAAUGCNGCCCAAAGCGGGUGGU
rnacentral:rRNA from 2 species